rnacentral:rRNA from 1 species
GUAGGUGGCAAGCGUUGUCCGGAAUUAUUGGGCGUAAAGCGCGCGCAGGCGGUUCUUUAAGUCUGAUGUGAAAGCCCACGGCUCAACCGUGGAGGGUCAUUGGAAACUGGAGAACUUGAGUACAGAAGAGGAAAGCGGAAUUCCACGUGUAGCGGUGAAAUGCGUAGAGACGUGGAGGAACACCAGUGGCGAAGGCGGCUUUCUGGUCUGUAACUGACGCUGAGGCGCGAAAGCGUGGGGAGCAAACAGGGAUUAGAUACCCUGGUAGUCCACGCCGUAAACGAUGAGUGUUAAGUGUUAGGGGGUUUCCCGCCCCCUUAGUGCUGCAGCUAACGCAUUAAGCACUCCGCCUGGGGAGUACGGCCGCAAGGCUG